AAAACCUCUGAGUUUGAGCACCUCGUUUGGUAGAUUUUGUAAUGUUAUUGAUCUUCAACCAGAUAUGAAGGAGAGGAGAAAACAUGAAGGGGAAAGAGGAAGGUGGAAGUCUCCGGGAUUGAACCCUUACCACUAGGAUUACAUCCUGAAUCCAGGAUGCAAUGCUACCACUAGACCAAACUCAAACUAGUCAUGGAACAGAUAAAGUUAUUUUACAGUUCAACCUCCCCAGAGGUCCACAUGAAGAAAAAGCAAGAAUGAACACUCAAAUGAUCAACUUGACCAGGCAGUCCCAGAACCCCUCUCUGGAGAGACCAACCCUCCUCCCAGCAUCACCCCUCUUCCUUUACCUGAACACAGUGACGACGUCAAGUCUGUGGGACCUGCACCUUCUCAACCCUCUACCUUGGGUCUGAAUGGUGACAGAAACAUGCCGGUGGUCCGGGGACUGGGCUCAGCUGACCCAGAAGAGGUGAAGAGGCUGAAGGACACCAGCUUCUUCAUCUGUAAUCGAUAGCUGCUUCUAUGAUUAGGGUAUACAACAAAUUGCAUUUAAAAAAACAAAUAUUGUAAGUUAUUUAUUUAUUAAAUUUUAAUUGACAACAAAUCAGUACAGAAAGUACAUGGGGGAACACAAGUAUACAUAAAUAAUAUACAAAGGACAAUUGGGAUAGGGGCGGGGCUAGGGGGUACAAUAUCACAUUACACAAGGACCUUAAGGGACAUACAGUGGGGAGAACAAGUAUUUGAUACACUGCCGAUUUUGCUGAAAGUCCGUAUUACCCAGCGACAGCCCCGAAACCUGAAGGAUCUGGAGAAGGUCUGUAUGGAGGAGUGGGCCAAAAUGCCUGCUGCAGUGUGUGCAAACCUGGUCAAGAACUACAGGAAACGUAUGAUCUCUGUAAUUGCAAACAAAAGUUUCUGUACCAAAUAUUAAGUUCUGCUUUUCUGAUGUAUCAAAUACUUAUGUCAUGCAUUAAAAUGCAAAUUAAUUACUUAAAAAUCAUACAAUGUGAAUUUCUGGAUUUUUGUUUUAGAUUCUGUCUCUCACAGUUGAAGUGUACCUAUGAUUAAAAAAUUACAGACCUCUACAUGCUUUGUAAGUAGGAAAACCUGCAAAAUCGGCAAUGUAUCAAAUACUUGUUCUCCCCACUGUACAUACACUUAUUAUUCUAACAGCUUUUUUGUUAGUAGAGUAUUUAAUUGUCUCAAAAUUGUAAGGUAAGAAAAUGUGGUGUUUUGUUUGUAAAUUUACAUUUGUGUAUAUGAAAU